rnacentral:tRNA from 1 species
GAGCCAUUAGCUCAGCUGGUAGAGCAUCUGGCUUUUAAUCAGAGGGUCAGAGGUUCGAAUCCUCUAUGGCUCA